rnacentral:rRNA from 1 species
GACGAACGCUGGCGGCGUGCUUAACACAUGCAAGUCGAACGCUGAAGCUCAGCUUUUGUUGGGUGGAUGAGUGGCGAACGGGUGAGUAACACGUGAGUAACCUGCCUCCUUCUUUGGGAUAACGCCCGGAAACGGGUGCUAAUACUGGAUAUUCACUGGUCUUCGCAUGGGGGUUGGUGGAAAGGGUUUUUCUGGUGGGGGAUGGGCUCGCGGCCUAUCAGCUUGUUGGUGGGGUGAUGGCCUACCAAGGCUUUGACGGGUAGCCGGCCUGAGAGGGUGACCGGUCACAUUGGGACUGAGAUACGGCCCAGACUCCUACGGGAGGCAGCAGUGGGGAAUAUUGCACAAUGGGCGCAAGCCUGAUGCAGCGACGCCGCGUGAGGGAUGGAGGCCUUCGGGUUGUGAACCUCCUUCGCUCAUGGUCAAGCCGCAACAAUGGUUGUGGUGAGGGUAGUGGGUAAAGAAGCGCCGGCUAACUACGUG